AUCUGUGUGACAUAAUGGCUUGAGUGUUGGGCUAGGACACUGAGAGGCCAGGGUUCGAAUCCUGGCUCAGCUA